AGAAGAGUCCAAGUACAAUGGCCAUCUGCACUGGCUUGGGCAGUAGUGAGCCUUACCCACAGGGAAAACAGAUGGAGUUGCUGAAGACAAAGUAGGCCCUCAGAAGAUUGGAUGAUGCCCACGCACAUUGGGUCGGAGUCACCCUGAGUCAGAUUGCAGCAGUUCUAGGUGUCAGGGAGGAGAUAGCAACGUCUAUCCUCUCCUGGGCUUGUUCCCUAAGCAUGGCGGAAGCUUUUCCCAAAGCUCGUCAGAAGACACUCCCUCACAUCUCAUUGGCUAGAACUGGUCAGCUGGCCAUUUCCGAACCAUUCACAUGCUGAGGGGAGAGGCUGCCACGAGGAGCUCAUGUGGAAUGGAUACUGGAAAGCCAGUCACAGACAUCUACCCUAACCCAGCAAAUGAGUAAGGAUGCCUUCUCAAAAGGUAGAACUCUUGCCACCCCUCAGGUAACACCGUCACUUCCUUUACUUGUAUGAUGGUCAUAUUGACCUUGGACUUCUUGCCCAGGGGCAGUGCUGGCCAGCCCCCUGGGUCCUUUUACCGACCACGGAUGGCCAUGAUCUCUACUGGGCUGUACCAACCUUGGCAUGGGGCUUUCCCACCAUCUGAACU